rnacentral:rRNA from 1 species
GGAGGGUGCAAGCGUUGUUCGGAAUUACUGGGCGUAAAGCGCGCGUAGGCGGUUUGUUAAGUCAGAUGUGAAAGCCCAGGGCUUAACCCUGGACGUGCAUUUGAAACUGACAGACUUGAGUAUUGGAGGGGGUGGUGGAAUUCCCGGUGUAGAGGUGAAAUUCGUAGAUAUCGGGAGGAAUACCGGUGGCGAAGGCGACCACCUGGCCAAAUACUGACGCUGAGGUGCGAAGGCGUGGGGAGCAAACAGGAUUAGAUACCCUGGUAGUCCACGCGGUAAACGAUGAGAACUAGGUGUUGGGACGGUUGAUCGUCUCAUUGCCGCAGCUAACGCAUUAAGUUCUCCGCCUGGGGAGUACGGUCGCAAGAUUA